CAGAGUUCAUGCCCUUCGGGGUAGAUCUCCCACCCUAUGUAUUUAUACCUUUGUUGCUUUGGUAGGCCGUCAAACCUCGGUCUGACCACCGGCUUCGGCUGGUGCGUGCCUGCCAGAGGACCCCAAACUCUGAAUAUUAGUGUCGUCUGAGUACUAUAUAAUAGUUA
rnacentral:misc_RNA from 1 species